CUGCAAUGAUGUCAAAUGAAUUUCUUCACCUGAAUGAUCAUGUGGCAUUUUGAGCUUUUUAACCCUGAGCAGU